AUACGGAGGAUCCGAGCGUUAUCCGGAUUUAUUGGGUUUAAAGGGAGCGUAGGCGGACGCUUAAGUCAGUUGUGAAAGUUUGCGGCUCAACCGUAAAAUUGCAGUUGAUACUGGGUGUCUUGAGUACAGUAGAGGCAGGCGGGAUUUGUGGUGUAUCGGGGAAAUGCUUAGAUAUCACGAAGAACUCCGAUUGCGAAGGCAGCCUGCUGGACUGUAACUGACGCUGAUGCUCGAAAGUGUGGGUAUCAAACAGGAUUAGAUACCCUGGUAGUCCACACAGUAAACGAUGAAUACUCGCUGUUUGCGAUAUACAGUAAGCGGCCAAGCGAAAGCGUUAAGUAUUCCACCUGGGGAGUACGCCGGCAACGGUGAAACUCAAAGGAAUUGACGGGG
rnacentral:rRNA from 1 species